GACGAACGCUGGCGGCGUGCUUAACACAUGCAAGUCGAACGGAAAGGCCCUGCUUUUGUGGGGUGCUCGAGUGGCGAACGGGUGAGUAACACGUGAGUAACCUGCCCUUGACUUUGGGAUAACUUCAGGAAACUGGGGCUAAUACCGGAUAGCAGCUCCUGCUGCAUGGUGGGGGUUGGAAAGUUUCGGCGGUUGGGGAUGGACUCGCGGCUUAUCAGCUUGUUGGUGGGGUAGUGGCUUACCAAGGCUUUGACGGGUAGCCGGCCUGAGAGGGUGACCGGGCACCUUGGGCCUGAGGUACGGACCAGACUCCUACGGGAGACAGCAGUGGGGAAUAUUGCACAAUGGGCGGAAGCCUGAGGCAGCAACGCCGCGUGCGGGAUGACGGCCUGCGGGUUGUAAACCGCUUUCGCCUGUGACGAAGCGUGAGUGACGGUAAUGAGUAAAGAAGCACCGGCUAACUACGUG
rnacentral:rRNA from 1 species